GAAGAGGUGGCUCGGAGGUUAAAAGCACUGGACUGUUCUUCCAGAGGUCCUGAGUUCAAUUCCCAGCAACCACA
rnacentral:tRNA from 1 species